GAUGAACGCUAGCUACAGGCUUAACACAUGCAAGUCGAGGGGCAGCGCAGUGUAGCAAUACAUGGGCGGCGACCGGCGCACGGGUGCGUAACGCGUAUCCAACCUUCCCGUUACUCAGGGAUAGCCUUCCGAAAGGGAGAUUAAUACCUGAUGGUGUUCAAAUUCCGCAUGUUAUUUGAACUAAAGAUUUAUCGGUAACGGAUGGGGAUGCGUGACAUUAGGUAGAUGGCGGGGUAACGGCCCACCAUGCCUACGAUGUCUAGGGGUUCUGAGAGGAAGGUCCCCCACGCUGGAACUGAGACACGGUCCAGACUCCUACGGGAGGCAGCAGUGAGGAAUAUUGGUCAAUGGUCGGAAGACUGAACCGGCCAAGUAGCGUGAAGGAUGAAGGUUCUACGGAUUGUAAACUUCUUUUAUACGGGAAUAAAACCUCCCACGUGUGGGAGCUUGUAUGUACCGUAUGAAUAAGCAUCGGCUAACUCCGUGCCAGCAGCCGCGGUAACAC
rnacentral:rRNA from 1 species